rnacentral:rRNA from 1 species
ACAGCAGUUUUACUGACGCUCAUGCUCGAAAGUGCGGGUAUCGAACAGGAUUAGAUACCCUGGUAGUCCGCACGGUAAACGAUGGAUGCCCGCUGUUUGCCAUUUGUGGUAAGCGGCCAAGCGAAAGCAUUAAGCAUCCCACCUGGGGAGUACGCCGGCAACGGUGAAACUCAAAGGAAUUGACGGGGGCCCGCACAAGCGGAGGAACAUGUGGUUUAAUUCGAUGAUACGCGAGGAACCUUACCCGGGCUUGAACUGCACAGGAAUGCGGGAGAGAUCCCAAAGCCCUUCGGGGCCUGUGUGGAGGUGCUGCAUGGUUGUCGUCAGCUCGUGCCGUGAGGUGUCGGCUUAAGUGCCAUAACGAGCGCAACCCUUCUCUUCAGUUGCCAUCACUUCGGGUGGGCACUCUGGAGACACUGCCACCGUAAGGUGUGAGGAAGGUGGGGAUGACGUCAAAUCAGCACGGCCCUUACGUCCGGGGCUACACACGUGUUACAAUGGCGCGUACAGAGGGCUGGCAUACGGUAACGUGUGUCUAAUCCUUAAAACGCGUCUCAGUUCGGACUGGGGUCUGCAACCCGACCCCACGAAGCUGGAUUCG